AUUAGAAGCCAGAUCUGGGAAGGGAGGAGCCUUCUAACAUCCUGGAGUUAGCAAUAAAAUUGAAGGAUCACUUAAGUGUGCUCUGACUCUCUCCUAAAGAAGAAAAAACCUCAUACGUUGUCCUGGUGCCCCAUGAUACAUCUUGGACAAAAUAAGUCUUUAGUUGCCUCCAACUGGUCUAAAUGCCAACUUGGUAACCCUGGAAAUCAGAGGGGAUUGAAAUUCUGCCAUUCUCAGUCAUGAUAUUUUGAGAUCCAGCAGCAAAUCAGUAGUUGAACAUCACCAUCUGCUCAAUCCCCAGGACCUGGGAUCUGAGGUGGAGUCCAACAAUUACUAAUAAGACAGAACUUCCCACCUGCCCGGGAGUGCAUAGUUCAGGUACUACAAGUACACUGAACCUACGACAUUACCCUCCCCUGCCCGUGCCUUCCUGAACUGAAUAAACUGAGCAAAAACAUGUUGGAGUCACA